rnacentral:rRNA from 1 species
GAUGAACGCUGGCGGCGUGCCUAAUACAUGCAAGUCGAGCGAACGGACGAGAAGCUUGCUUCUCUGAUGUUAGCGGCGGACGGGUGAGUAACACGUGGAUAACCUACCUAUAAGACUGGGAUAACUUCGGGAAACCGUAGCUAAUACCGGAUAAUAUUUUGAACCGCAUGGUUCAAAAGUGAAAGACGGUCUUGCUGUCACUUAUAGAUGGAUCCGCGCUGCAUUAGCUAGUUGGUAAGGUAUCGGCUUACCAAGGCAACGAUGCAUAGCCGACCUGGGAGGGUGAUAGGCCACACUGGAACUGAGACGCGGUCCAGACUCCUACGGGAGGCAGCAGUAGGGAAUCUUCCGCAAUGGGCGAAAGCCUGACGGAGCAACGCCGCGUGAGUGAUGAAGGUCUUCGGAUCGUAAAACUCUGUUAUUAGGGAAGAACAUAUGUGUAAGUAACUGUGCACAUCUUGACGGUACCUAAUCAGAAAGCCACGGCUAACUACGUG